GUGAUCCCUAUAAAGGAAAACCUAAAACUUUUUUGAAAAGUUUUCUUUUUAAUUUUAGAUUAAAAAGUAUAAAGUGAACUGAAACAUCUUAGUAACUUAUUAAUAUAAUCAAAUGAGAAAACAUUAGUAAUGGUGAGUGAAAAUGUUUGUGAAAGAAGUUUAUACACUUC
rnacentral:rRNA from 15 species